UACGUAGGGUGCGAGCGUUAAUCGGAAUUACUGGGCGUAAAGUGUGCGCAGGCGGCAGAGCAAGUCGAGUGUGAAAGCCCCGGGCUUAACUUGGGAAUUGCGCUCGAAACUACUUUGCUGGAGUGUGGCAGAGGAAGGUGGAAUUCCACGUGUAGCGGUGAAAUGCGUAGAGAUGUGGAGGAACACCAAUGGCGAAGGCAGGGUCCUGGCUGGCACCUGACGCUCAUGUGCGAAAGCCAGGGGAGCGAACGGG
rnacentral:rRNA from 1 species